AAGUAAAUGCUGCAUGAAGUCUCUGCUUGUGGAAACAUUUCUUUCCUAACUAUUAUAAUAUAUAAACUAGUCAAAAUUAAGUACUAAUAUAUAGUUCACAGAUUGGAACUUAUUUACUAUUUCUUUGAAUCAGGUUACGUGAAAGUUUGUGUAUAUAUAAGUAAUCCAGGGUGCUCCUGAUGAGAAGGGUGAGGGAGUAGCGUAGGCUUCUUCAGCUAGCUGCAACUAUCUAAAUGGCUUCUCUACUCUUGUUACUGGGAGCAAUCCUACAAUCCCAUUCUAAUGAUGUUCUUCUGAUCGAUGAUGGAACGAUGGAUUCCAACUACGCCAAUGCUGAUGAUCUUCGGUUUGAGCGAAAAGAUGGGAAUGUCUUCUCCGGUGUGUCUCCUCAUGAUUACAUGUGGAGUUUUCCGAACCACAAUGAUAUUGAUGAAACCCAAGCCUGGAAAGUAGCCGUCUAUGGCAUUUGGCCUUGACAACAAAACCAUCCGCCGCCUUGUUCCCCCAGUACGUGUUUGAGAAAUAUGAAAACCAACCAAGGAGACUUGAUGUAUUGGCAGCCAAUGACAUGCAGUGCUUAAUUUUCAAAUAAAAAGCUUGUAGCACUAGAAAGCUUUGGUGGGCUAAGAUUUGCUUACUUUGUGAUGGGGCCUAGGAGCAUUUUCCACCCCUGUGACAAGUUGAUCUGCUUGUAGUUGAGAGCCAGUUAAACUCAUUCUCAAGUAUUAAUUCGAACUCAGAUCCCUUUGGGAUUCCAGGCCCAUUUAGAGCCUGUAA